GCUUGAACCCGAUCCCAUCCCGAACUCGGCCGUUAAACUCCUCAGCGCCAAUGGUACUAUGGCUUAAGCCCUGGGAGAGUAGGUCGCUGCCAGGC
rnacentral:rRNA from 1 species